UACGGGGGGGGCAAGCGUUGUUCGGAAUUACUGGGCGUAAAGGGCUCGUAGGCGGCCAACUAAGUCGGAUGUGAAAUCCCCAGGCUUAACCUGGGAACUGCAUCCGAUACUGGAUGGCUUGAAUCCGGGAGAGGGAUGCGGAAUUCCAGGUGUAGCGGUGAAAUGCGUAGAUAUCUGGAGGAACACCGGUGGCGAAGGCGGCAUCCUGGCUCUGUUCUGACGCUGAGGCGCGAGAGCGUGGGGAGCAAACCGG
rnacentral:rRNA from 1 species